rnacentral:rRNA from 1 species
AGUGAACGCUGGCGGUAGGCCUAACACAUGCAAGUCGAACGGCAGCACAGUAAGAGCUUGCUCUUACGGGUGGCGAGUGGCGGACGGGUGAGGAAUACAUCGGAAUCUACUUUUUCGUGGGGGAUAACGUAGGGAAACUUACGCUAAUACCGCAUACGACCUACGGGUGAAAGCAGGGGAUCUUCGGACCUUGCGCGAUUGAAUGAGCCGAUGUCGGAUUAGCUAGUUGGGGGGGUAAAGGCCCACCAAGGCGACGAUCCGUAGCUGGUCUGAGAGGAUGAUCAGCCACACUGGAACUGAGACACGGUCCAGACUCCUACGGGAGGCAGCAGUGGGGAAUAUUGGACAAUGGGCGCAAGCCUGAUCCAGCCAUACCGCGUGGGUGAAGAAGGCCUUCGGGUUGUAAAGCCCUUCUGUUGGGAAAGAAAAGCAGCAGGUUAAUACCCCGCUGUUCUGACGGUACCCAAAGAAUAAGCACCGGCUAACUUCGUG